AUACGGAGGGUCCAAGCGUUAUCCGGAAUCAUUGGGUUUAAAGGGUCCGCAGGCGGUCAAUUAAGUCAGAGGUGAAAGCCCAUCGCUCAACGAUGGAACUGCCUUUGAUACUGGUUGACCUGAGUUAUACGGAAGUAGAUAGAAUAAGUAGUGUAGCGGUGAAAUGCAUAGAUAUUACUUAGAAUACCGAUUGCGAAGGCAGUCUACUACGUAUAUACUGACGCUGAGGGACGAAAGCGUGGGGAGCGAACAGGAUUAGAUACCCUAGUAGUCC
rnacentral:rRNA from 1 species